rnacentral:snRNA from 1 species
GUGCUGGCUUCAGCAGCACAUAGACUAAAAUUGGAAUGAUAUGGAGAAGAUUAGCAUGGCCCCUGCACAAGGAUGCCACGCAAAUUCGUGAAGUGUUCCACAUUUAA